rnacentral:rRNA from 1 species
UGGGGGAUAUUGCGCAAUGGGGGCAACCCUGACGCAGCAACGCCGCGUGAAGGAUGAAGGUUUUCGGAUUGUAAACUUCUUUUAUUAAGGACGAAACUUGACGGUACUUAAUGAAUAAGCUCCGGCUAACUACGUGCCAGCAGCCGCGGUAAUACGUAGGGAGCAAGCGUUGUCCGGAUUUACUGGGUGUAAAGGGUGCGUAGGCGGCUUUGCAAGUCAGAUGUGAAAUCUAUGGGCUCAACCCAUAAACUGCAUUUGAAACUGUAGAGCUUGAGUGAAGUAGAGGCAGGCGGAAUUCCCCGUGUAGCGGUGAAAUGCGUAGAGAUGGGGAGGAACACCAGUGGCGAAGGCGGCCUGCUGGGCUUUAACUGACGCUGAGGCACGAAAGCGUGGGUAGCAAACAGGAUUAGAUACCCUGGUAGUCCACGCUGUAAACGAUGAUUACUAGGUGUGGGGGGUCUGACCCCUUCCGUGCCGGAGUUAACACAAUAAGUAAUCCACCUGGGGAGUACGGCCGCAAGGUUGAAACUCAAAGGAAUUGACGGGGGCCCGCACAAGCAGUGGAGUAUGUGGUUUAAUUCGAAGCAACGCGAAGAACCUUACCAGGUCUUGACAUCCAACUAACGAAGUAGAGAUACAUUAGGUGCCCUUCGGGGAAAGUUGAGACAGGUGGUGCAUGGUUGUCGUCAGCUCGUGUCGUGAGAUGUUGGGUUAAGUCCCGCAACGAGCGCAACCCUUGCUAUUAGUUGCUACGCAAGAGCACUCUAAUAGGACUGCCGUUGACAAAACGGAGGAAGGUGGGGACGACGUCAAAUCAUCAUGCCCCUUAUGACCUGGGCUACACACGUACUACAAUGGAUGUUAACAGAGGGAAGCAAGACAGCGAUGUGGAGCAAACCCCUAAAAACAUUCUCAGUUCAGAUUGCAGGCUGCAACCCGCCUGCAUGAAGAUGGAAUUGCUAGUAAUCGCGGAUCAGCAUGUCGCGGUGAAUACGUUCCC